GACAGAGGGUGCAAACGUUGUUCGGAAUUACUGGGCGUAAAGCGAGUGUAGGCGGUUUCCUAAGUCAGGUGUGAAAGCCCCGGGCUCAACCCGGGAAGUGCACUUGAAAACUGGGAGGCUAGAGUAUCGGAGAGGUUGGUGGAAUUCUCGGUGUAGAGGUGAAAAUUCGUAGAUAUCGAGAGGAACACCGGUGGCGAAGGCGGCCAACUGGAC
rnacentral:rRNA from 1 species